GCAGCACUCAGAAGUAUGUUCUCAGAAUAAUUCCUGAUCCUCUGUGAGUUCCUGGUGCAGCUCCUGGAGGCAAAGCCUGCAUGGGGGAGGGAGUCCUCCUCACAUGCAGCCCUGAGGCUGCCACGUCACUUCACCCACCGUUGCCCUUCAGUCACUUCCUGAACACUUAUGAGUUGAUCUUCCUGAAACAUGUGGUAUUUGGCAGUGUCUUUCCCAGGACAUUGAUUAUGGGAUUCACCAGAAGCUGCUGGCCUUUCACAGGCACAGACCUUCCUCUACACCAGUGGUCCCCAACAUUUUUGGCACCAGGGAACGGUUUCGUGGCAGACAAUUUUUCCAUGGAUGAUGGCGGCUGCACCCUUUACAAGGAGUCUCCAGUGGUACAGCGGAUUUUCCUCCAUCCUCCACUCCCCUUCCUGGCUGCAGCAUCCACAGAUUAUUUUCUUGAAUCUGACCCCAGUUGUUUAUUAAUUAUACCCCUUUUCAUGACACGGGAAGGCUAAGAUGAAGCUGUCUGGGAUGGAAAAGAAUCCCUUCCUCUCACAUAGAAUAAAGAUCUUGAAAAGU
rnacentral:lncRNA from 10 species